GGAAAUCUAACAAGUUUAGAAUUCUUGGAUCUUUCAAACAAUCAAAUAAAUGGUUCCAUCCCUUCGACAUUCUCGAAAUUGAUCUCUGUGAGAACACUAUCACUUAAGUCCAAUCAGCUUAAUGGAAUGUUACCGCCAGAAUUAGGAUCUCUUGUUCUUCUCUCACAUAUGGAUCUAAGUAGAAAUCAAUUUUCAGGAAGUAUUCCACCUCAGUUACUCCUAUCAGACAACUUAUUGACAGGACAGAUACCACAAUAAUUUGGGUAUCAUGCCAACCUAAAUGAGCUUAAUUUGAGUAAAAACCAUUUAAGCAGUGCUAUCCCAGCGACUUUUUCUGUUUCUUACCAACUAUGGAAGCUGAAUUUAUCAUAUAAUAAUUUGGAUGGCAGAGUUGCAUUUGUCGCUGCCACCUUGAUCUUACUUGACCAUAAUACGGGCUUAUGUGGUGAUUUGUAUGGCUUAACUCCAUGCAAAAAACCGAAGCUCGACAUGGAACACCAAAAAAGGAAAAAUCCAAGUAUGGUACUUCUUGCUCUUUUUGCACCCUUUUCAUUUGCUUGCCUCUCAAUUGUAAGCAUCACGAUCGUUUGUUGGAGAAGAAAGGAUGUAAAAAUUACAAGCAAAUGCAAGUCUAGAGAUAUACUUUCCAUAUGGAAUUUUGAUGGAAAGAUUGCAUUCGAAGACAUCAUCAGCGCAACAGAAAAUUUUGAUGAGAAAUAUUGCAUUGUUGUUGGAGGAUACGGAUCUGUCUUCAGAGUUCAUCUUGAAGAUGGGAUUAUCUUUGCCGUCAAGCUCCUUCAGUCAUUGGAAGAAUACAACGACGAGGGAACAUUUCAUGCCGAGAUUGAAGUGUUGACAAAAAUCAGGCACCGAUGCAUCGUCAAGCUUUAUGGCUUCUGUUCCCACUCCGAGUACAAAUUCCUCGUGUAUGAGCUUAUCGAGAGGGGAAGCUUAUCAUCCACUAUGCACGAGCAAGAGCUAGCAAAGGAGCUGGAUUGGCCCAAGAGAGUUUCUGUUGUGGUGGACGUAGCUCAAGCUCUCUCCUACUUGCACCAUGAUUGCGGCGAUCCAAUCGUGCACCGCGACAUAAAAAGCAGCAACCUUUUUCUGGACCUCGAUUAUAAGGCUUAUGUUUUAGACUUUCGCAUGGCAAGGAAAUUGAAGCAUGGUUACUCAAGAUGGAGCACUAUUUUUGCAGGCACAUGUGGCUACAUAGCCCCUGGUACUUACAUGGACUUAAUCCAGUUUUUUCUUUUUUUAUGA
rnacentral:rRNA from 1 species